AUGGCGUCGACCUCUAGCUUGGAUUUGGGAAAGAUUGUGCCGCCGGCCGGCUUCCUCCACUGCCGCGCCGCCGUCCUCAGCGCCCCUGUUCUCUGGGGGAGGAGCGCGAGCGGGCGGUGCAGCCUCGCCGUCUCGGUCUCGUCCUCCAAUGGUGCAGCUGGGCUCUCCCCACUGAGUGACUCGGAGAAGAAAGGUCCUGUGGUGAUGGAGAUCCCGCUGGAAGAUAUCCGGAGGCCGCUAAUGCGAACGCGUGCUAAUGAUUCUGAUAAGGUGCAGGAGCUCAUGGACAGCAUCCGUGUCAUCAGCCUCCAAGUACCUGUGGGCUUCCUUUCCUUUAACAUUAAUUUUUCCAAAAUUAUUUUCUUUUAG
rnacentral:rRNA from 1 species